GAUGAAGAACGUAGCGAAAUGCGAUAAGUAAUGUGAAUUGCAGAAUUCAGUGAAUCAUCGAAUCUUUGAACGCACAUUGCGCCCGCCAGUAUUCUGGCGGGCAUGCCUGUCCGAGCGUCAUUUCAACCCUCGAACCCCUCCGGGGGGUCGGCGUUGGGGACCUCGGGAGCCCCUAAGACGGGAUCCCGGCCCCGAAAUACAGUGGCGGUCUCGCCGCAGCCUCUCCUGCGCAGUAGUUUGCACAACUCGCACCGGGAGCGCGGCGCGUCCACGUCCGUAAAACACCCAACUUCUGAAAUGUUGACCUCGGAUCAGGUAGGAAUACCCGCUGAACUUAAGCAUAUCAUUAAGCGGAGGA
rnacentral:misc_RNA from 1 species